GGACCUAUGGCGCAGUGGUAGCGCGUAAGUAAUCCCUUAUGUCCUCUAAUUUCAAAUUCUAACACUACCCCAGAUCUGAUUCCAGAGUUGAGUUUCCAGAAGGUCAUCCGUUCGAAUCGGGUUAGGUUCA